AGAGUUUGAUCCUGGCUCAGGACGAACGCUGGCGGCGCGCCUAACACAUGCAAGUCGAACGAAGUCAAGAGGAGCUUGCUCUUUUUGACUUAGUGGCGAACGGGUGAGUAACGCGUGAGGAACCUGCCUCAAAGAGGGGGACAACAGUUGGAAACGACUGCUAAUACCGCAUAAGCCCACAGCUCCGCAUGGAGCAGAGGGAAAAGGAGCAAUCCGCUUUGAGAUGGCCUCGCGUCCGAUUAGCUAGUUGGUGAGGUAACGGCCCACCAAGGCGACGAUCGGUAGCCGGACUGAGAGGUUGAUCGGCCACAUUGGGACUGAGACACGGCCCAGACUCCUACGGGAGGCAGCAGUGGGGAAUAUUGCACAAUGGGGGAAACCCUGAUGCAGCGACGCCGCGUGGAGGAAGAAGGUCUUCGGAUUGUAAACUCCUGUUGUUGGGGAAGAUAAUGACGGUACCCAACAAGGAAGUGACGGCUAACUACGUGCCAGCAGCCGCGGUAAAACGUAGGUCACAAGCGUUGUCCGGAAUUACUGGGUGUAAAGGGAGCGCAGGCGGGAAGACAAGUUGGAAGUGAAAUCUAUGGGCUCAACCCAUAAACUGCUUUCAAAACUGUUUUUCUUGAGUAGUGCAGAGGUAGGCGGAAUUCCCGGUGUAGCGGUGGAAUGCGUAGAUAUCGGGAGGAACACCAGUGGCGAAGGCGGCCUACUGGGCACCAACUAACGCUGAGGCUCGAAAGUGUGGGUAGCAAACAGGAUUAGAUACCCUGGUAGUCCUCACUGUAAACGAUGAUUACUAGGUGUUGGGGGAUUGACCCCCUCAGUGCCGCAGUUUAACACAAUAAGUAAUCCACCUGGGGAGUACGACCGCAAGGUUGAAACUCAAAGGAAUUGACGGGGGCCCGCACAAGCAGUGGAGUAUGUGGUUUAAUUCGACGCAACGCGAAGAACCUUACCUGGGCUUGACAUGUAAUGAACAACAUGUGAAAGCAUGCGACUCUUCGGAGGCGUUACACAGGUGCUGCAUGGCCGUCGUCAGCUCGUGUCGUGAGAUGUUUGGUUAAGUCCAGCAACGAGCGCAACCCCUGUUGCCAGUUACCAGCACGUGAAGGUGGGGACUCUGGCGAGACUGCCCAGAUCAACUGGGAGGAAGGUGGGGACGACGUCAGGUCAGUAUGGCCCUUAUGCCCAGGGCUGCACACGUACUACAAUGCCCAGUACAGAGGGGGCCGAAGCCGCGAGGCGGAGGAAAUCCUAAAAACUGGGUCCAGUUCGGACUGUAGGCUGCAACCCGCCUACACGAAGCCGGAAUCGCUAGUAAUGGCGCAUCAGCUACGGCGCCGUGGAUACGUUCCCGGGUCUUGCACUCACCGCCCGUCA
rnacentral:rRNA from 1 species